GAUGAACGCUGGCGGCGUGCCUAACACAUGCAAGUCGAGCGAUUCUCUUCGGAGAAGAGCGGCGGACGGGUGAGUAACGCGUGGGUAACCUGCCCUGUACACACGGAUAACAUACCGAAAGGUAUGCUAAUACGAGAUAACAUGCUUUUAUCGCAUGGUAGAAGUAUCAAAGCUCCGGCGGUACAGGAUGGACCCGCGUCUGAUUAGCUAGUUGGUAAGGUAACGGCUUACCAAGGCGACGAUCAGUAGCCGACCUGAGAGGGUGAUCGGCUACAUUGGAACUGAGACACGGUCCAAACUCCUACGGGAGGCAGCAGUGGGGAAUAUUGCAUAAUGGGCGAAAGCCUGAUGCAGCAACGCCGCGUGAGCGAUGAAGGCCUUCGGGUCGUAAAGCUCUGUCCUCAAGGAAGAUAAUGACGGUACUUGAGGAGGAAGCCCCGGCUAACUACGUGCCAGCAGCCGCGGUAA
rnacentral:rRNA from 1 species